UAUGUUUAUUCAAAAUUCAAAGAUAAAGCAUUCGAGGAGAUUAAGUCGAACGAACUAAAUGACAGACAGUCACUGAAUUACGCUAGACAUCUUUCGCUGCAAUCAUAGAAAGUAACCCUGAAUUUUUAAACUUCAUUUUUCAAGAGCGUCGAUUCGAAACAACAAGAUCAACAAAACUCUCCCUUUUCAAAAGUACAGGAAAUACCCCUGUAACUUUUCUUCACUGGCCCAAGUUAACAUACCAUUG